GAAUAUCUGAAAGUUCAAGUGCCU
rnacentral:siRNA from 1 species